GAGAGAGAGGGAGAGAGAGCACUUGGCUUUUUAGCUUCAAAAAAUCAUUGAAGAGAGGGAGAGAGAGUGAGUGUGUGUGACACCUCUCCACUCUUGCUAUUUACCCUUCAAAAUCCAGUCUUUUGAAAGAAAGAGGAAGAGAAAUAGAAAGAGAAAGAAAGACCACCCUGUUUUUCACUUCGGCAAACCAUUCUCCUCUAAAUUCUACAUCUAUAUAUAUAUAUAUAUAGAAAGAGAGCGAGAGAGAGAGAGAGAGAGAGAGAGAGCUCCGCUUUGCUUUUUGGCUUCAAAAAACCAGUCUUUUGUUCAUUCUAUAGAGAGAUAGCGAAAGAGAAGGCGCUCCACUCUUGCUAUUUAUCUUCAAAAUCUAAUCUUUUUUAAGAGAGAGAGAAAAAAACACCUUGAAAAACCAGAGCUUUGGGGGGAGAAGAAGACCAUGAUUCCCAACACUCCUCCAUAAAAAUCCCACCUUUUUAGGAAACAAGACUACCAAGCCAUGUCCGAAGACACCGAAGAAGAAGGAGAAGAUGAGCGCUGGGGCCGACCAACCACUAGCUCCGUCGCCGCCGGCUCCACCUCCGAUGCUCCCCCACCAUUCUCCGACCAGGUCCUCGAGAAUGUCCUUGAGAACGUCCUCCAGUUCCUCACCUCCCGCCAUGACCGCAACUCCGCCUCUCUCGUCUGCCGUUCUUGGUACCGUGCCGAAGCCCUAACUCGGCGUGAGCUCUUCAUCGGGAACUGCUAUGCUGUCGCGCCGGCGCGCGCCGGUGCUCGGUUCCCCAACGCUGUCGCCGUUGUUCUCAAGGGCAAGCCUCGCUUCGCCGAUUUCGGCCUCGUCCCUCAAGGCUGGGGCGCUUUCUUCUCCCCUUGGGCCAUCGCCUUCUCCUCCUUCUCCUCCUUCUCCUCGCUCGAACGUAUCUCUCUCAAGCGCAUCACCGUCGCUGACGCCGACCUCACCCGCCUCUCCCAGUCCCUCCCCACUUUCCGCGACCUCUCCCUCUUCUGCUGUGAUGGCUUCUCCACCGCAGGUCUCUCCUCCAUCGCCGAGAAUUGCAGGCACCUUCGAGUUCUCGAUCUCAUCGAGAACGAUGUCGAAGACGACGAAGAUGAUGAACCCGUGGAUUGGAUCUCUAAAUUCCCUGAUUCUCCGACGAGCCUUGAAUCCCUAAUCUUCGAUUGCGUGCGUUUGGCCGUGAAUUUUGACGCUUUGGAAGCUCUCGUCGCUCGCUCGCCGUCCUUAUGCCGGCUGCGCGUGAACCAGCACGUCUCCGUGGAGCAGCUCCGCCGACUCAUGGCGCGCGCGCCUCACCUCACUCACCUCGGCUCCGGCGCCUUCCGCUCCGCCCAGGUCGGCGGCGAGCAAGACAUCACUGAUCUAAAGCUCUCAUUCGUCAAUGCUUCCAAAUCCCUGGUUUGCCUCUCUGGUUUCCGUGAACUUGGGCCGGAGUUUCUCCCCGCCAUCCUACCAGCCUGCCCCAACCUCAUCUCCCUCAACCUCAGCUACGCUGAGAUCACCGCCGACCAGCUUCGUCCCGUCAUUCUCCAUUGCCACAACCUCCGAACCUUUUGGGUUCUUGAUACGGUUGGUGAUGAAGGACUUAAAGCUGUUGCCAAAACUUGCAAGGACCUCCGAGAGCUCAGAGUGUUCCCUUUGGAUGCUAGAGAGGACUCCGAGGGGUCUGUUUCAGAUGUCGGGCUGGUGGCGAUCUCCGAGGGAUGUCGGAAACUUGAAUCAAUACUAUACUUCUGUCAGAAAAUGACCAAUGCUGCUGUAGUGACAAUGUCGCAGAAUUGCCCAGAGCUUGUGGUGUUUCGCUUAUGCAUUAUGCAACGACAUCUCCCUGAUCAUCAUACUAAUGAGCCGAUGGAUGAUGGUUUCGGUGCUAUUGUGAUGAACUGCAAGAAGCUUACACGGCUUGCUGUUUCUGGUUUGCUUACCGAUAAGGCAUUCGGGUAUAUUGGCAAGUAUGGGAAGUUGGUGAGGACUCUUUCAGUUGCUUUUGCCGGAAAUACUGAUUUGGGUCUUCAGUAUGUGCUUGAAGGAUGUCCCAAAUUACAGAAGCUUGAGAUCAGGGACAGUCCUUUCGGAGACUUGGGUCUUCUUUCAGGGAUUCCACAUUACUAUCAUAUGCGAUUCCUUUGGAUGUCUUCUUGCAAGCUUUCUUUGAGAGGUUGUAGGGAGGUGGCUCAAAGGCUGCCAAACUUGGUGGUCGAAGUGAUUGCGGAUAGAGGCCAAGAAGAUGAUGGUGAUUUUGUUGAGAAGUUAUAUCUCUAUCGAUCACUUGCAGGGCCGAGGAAUGAUGCACCGCCAUUUGUGAAGAUCAUGUAGUUACAGAGAGUGAAUUUGGUGGCAAGUUUUCAUGACCCGCCAAACAUUAUAAAGCUCCAUUCUUUUACAGUGAAUUUAUGGCCGGAGAUCUCUGGAAACUGCAUCUCAUUCAAGAUAAUUUAAUAGAACAAUGUCUCCCAAUCCGAGUUCCUACCGCAAUGGAUCCACAACUCAUUGGCCCCCACAACAGCUUGGAAGGCUCUUGCAAAAGCAUCAGAUCUGCAGCAAUGAAAGAAUGCAGAAAAAUUUCUGCAGAUUGGGACCAUUGUUUCGUAUAGAUGUUUGUGAUUUGCCAUUGGAUGUUUUGGAUCUAAUCUGUGAAAGAUGUCGAAUUCGCGGUCUUUGUUAUAAUGUCGAAACAGGUGGAGAAAAUGAAUGUAACGCCGAAGAGAUCAUAUUCGAGCAUUUUAACAAACAGUAAUGAAAUUUAAAGUGGUAACGGGAAAUAUAUGCGUCGAUGAUCGAUCUAGUUACUGUAUUUUAGUAUUUAUCUAAUGAUCAGAAAUGG